rnacentral:rRNA from 1 species
UACGUAGGGAGCAAGCGUUGUCCGGAAUCAUUGGGCGUAAAGCGCGCGUAGGCGGCCCGAUAAGUCCGCUGUAAAAGUCAACGGCUCAACUGUUGAAAGCCGGUGGAUACUGUCGGGCUAGAGUACGGAAGAGGCAAGUGGAAUUCCUGGUGUAGCGGUGGAAUGCGUAGAGAUGCGGAGGAACACCAGUGGGCGAAAAGCGGCUUUCUGGUCCUUAACUGACGCUGAGGCGCGAAAGCAUGGGGAGCGAACGGG